AGUCGAGCGGAGAUGAGGUGCUUGCACCUUAUCUUAGCGGCGGACGGGUGAGUAAUGCUUAGGAAUCUGCCUAUUAGUGGGGGACAACAUUCCGAAAGGAAUGCUAAUACCGCAUACGUCCUACGGGAGAAAGCAGGGGAUCUUCGGACCUUGCGCUAAUAGAUGAGCCUAAGUCGGAUUAGCUAGUUGGUGGGGUAAAGGCCUACCAAGGCGACGAUCUGUAGCGGGUCUGAGAGGAUGAUCCGCCACACUGGGACUGAGACACGGCCCAGACUCCUACGGGAGGCAGCAGUGGGGAAUAUUGGACAAUGGGGGGAACCCUGAUCCAGCCAUGCCGCGUGUGUGAAGAAGGCCUUAUGGUUGUAAAGCACUUUAAGCGAGGAGGAGGCUACUGAGACUAAUACUCUUGGAUAGUGGACGUUACUCGCAGAAUAAGCACCGGCUAACUCUGUGCCAGCAGCCGCGGUAAUACAGAGGGUGCGAGCGUUAAUCGGAUUUACUGGGCGUAAAGCGUGCGUAGGCGGCUUUUUAAGUCGGAUGUGAAAUCCCCGAGCUUAACUUGGGAAUUGCAUUCGAUACUGGGAAGCUAGAGUAUGGGAGAGGAUGGUAGAAUUCCGGGUGUAGCGGUGAAAUGCGUAGAGAUCUGGAGGAAUACCGAUGGCGAAAGCAGCCAUCUGGCCUAAUACUGACGCUGA
rnacentral:rRNA from 1 species